CAAUAGCGUAUACUAAUGUUGUUGCAGUUAAAAAGCUCGUAGUUGAACUUCUGGUAGGAGUGUCCCGGCCUUUUUGUUUUUACAAAUUGUAUGCUGUGUGACAUCUCUGGCCAUCCUUCUUCUUUGUUUAAAGAAGAUCUUUCACUGUAAAAAAAUUAGGGUGUUCAAAGCAAAAGUUUCUUUGGAAUAUAUUAGUAUGGGAUGAUAAGAUAGGCUCUAGAUGCUAUUUUGUUGGUUUGCACAUUUAGAGAAUGAUUAACAGGGACAGUUGGGGGUAUUCGUAUUUACAUGCCAGAGGUGAAAUUCUUGGAUUUUGGAAAGACGAACUACUGCGAAAGCAUUUACCAAGGAUGUUUUCAUUAA
rnacentral:rRNA from 1 species